UACGUAGGUGGCAAGCGUUGUCCGGAUUUACUGGGCGUAAAGAGCGCGCAGGCGGUCGUCAACAGUCGCGUGUGAAAGCCCCCGGCUCAACUGGGGAGGGUCACGCGAUACUGAUCGACUCGAAGGCAGGAGAGGGUAGUGGAAUUCCCGGUGUAGUGGUGAAAUGCGUAGAUAUCGGGAGGAACACCAGUGGCGAAGGCGACUACCUGGCCUGUUCUUGACGCUGAGGCGCGAAAGCUAGGGGAGCAAACGGGG
rnacentral:rRNA from 1 species